rnacentral:rRNA from 1 species
UACGUAGGGUGCAAGCGUUGUCCGGAAUUAUUGGGCGUAAAGAGCUCGUAGGCGGUCUGUCGCGUCGGCUGUGAAAACCCGGAGCUCAACUCCGGGCCUGCAGUCGAUACGGGCAAACUGGAGUUCGGCAGGGGAGACUGGAAUUCCUGGUGUAGCGGUGAAAUGCGCAGAUAUCAGGAGGAACACCUGUGGCGAAAGCGGCUCACUGGACCAUAACUGACGCUGAUGCACGAAAGCUAGGGGAGCAAACAGG